rnacentral:snRNA from 1 species
GACUACUUGUUACUAACAAAGUCC